CAAGGAGUAGUUUAGAUAGAAUGUCAGCUUUGGGAGUUGAUGGCGGAGCUGUAGUAUGUUUCCUCCUUGA
rnacentral:tRNA from 1 species